UCGCGUUUUACGGCAAGCAUGGGUUGCUGAAGACCUGUUCUACCCCGGAUCUUCACGGGUCUCUGGUGCCGAAACGAUAAAAGGUCCAAAUGCACGUUCGAGACUGAACUGUGCCACCCGAAUGAGCAAUACACACUGAACGUGGACGUGGAACGCAGUACACAACUACAGCGACGAUGAAGGGCAGCGUGACCUGAACUUCGAUCUGUGACAGGGUGGACAUUCGCACUUCGGACCAACAUAUGGAGCGUGACACUCAGUACAUUCUCCUGCCGUCCUGUUUCAGGACUUGCACCUACU